GCUCAGUAGACAUUUACUGAAUUCAGGACUCAGAGUCUGAGUGCAUGGCUCAGCAGGGACUUCACCCUGGUGCUCAGCAGGGACUUCAUUGGGAAGCAAUGUGGCUGUCUUGCCACCAGAGGUCCCCACAGCACCAUGGAAAAACUUGAAGUUGUUUCAAUUGGUGGCAGGAACAUUUGGGAAAAUCUGAAGGUUUUUUUUUUUUUUUUCUCACCACUUCUGCCCUCUACUCCUGUGCCAGUGUGAGCGGUCUCCCCCCAAGGCCAUCUGAGUUUCUCACUAUGGGUCCCUGAGGGCAAAUGCAGGUCUGGGAAAGGCAUGAUCUCCAGGGCAGUUGAGGGUGGCUUCUGGGACCAGACCCAACUGUGGAGUUAGAGAAGAUUCUGGAAGUUAGCCUCAUAAGGGGAGCUACCUUGGCGCCCACCUAGAAUUCUGGCUUAGCCAACAGAUGUGGGGAGAGGGGUGGUUGGAGUGGCUCUCUGGCAUUUGUCUAGUUUGUCUCAAGAACUUAAGUUUUUAUAAUAAUCGUCACACUGACCUGUGAGGAGAAAAUCUUGUAGGGAAGGAGUCUGAAGUUAGAAGCAGGGAGGUGAUUUGCCCAAGGUCAUUCAACGACAUAGGAUAGAGCUUGAUUUUAAGCCUAGGUUCAUCUGGUUUAAUCGCCCAUGUGUUUUCCUCUGCAGCUGCUGCCUUCCACAUGCCUGGGGGAGGGCGGUUGAGAAGAUGGUGAUUGGUGACAACUCUCAGUUUCUGUGCUUGUCUUGUCCCUAAGAGCCGUAGCCCAGGAAAUACAAGCCCCACAGAAUUGCUCUGUGACAGUGGGAUGAUCACCGUUCCUCAAUUGUGGUUACCUCAUAUUCCAGUCUUUCUGUUGGAGAAAAUUCCUAUUUGGAACCCUAAGGAGAGAUGAAGGGAAGCUGUUUGUAUUGAAACCAAGGAAAGGGAGGCCUGAGACCUGCCCACUCAGACUGUUACUCUCGGCCCCCUCACUGGUCUUCUAGCCUCUGGGCACCAAGCUUGGGGAAAUACACUGGCCUCACCUAUGUUCAGGUGAAAGAUGAGAGCUCAAGAGGGGAGAUUUAUCAAGGCUAGGUAGAUAGAUGGUAGACCAGAGCUAGAAACCAAUUCUAGCCCAGGAUAGAAAUUUUACUACUUAAGCCUUAUUAAAGAAAAAAAUCCCGUUUGAUAACCUGACUGCCCCUAAUGAAGAGCACUUACCUGUUAAGCAGUUGUUUUCAAGCAGAAUGUAUGGAUGACAGGCACUGUCAGUGACCUCAUAUCCUGCAGAAAGGAUUCAAGCUAUCUUAGCCCAGCAUGCCAGAUCCCCUUUAAUCCCCAGGUAGAGAUUCCUUCUCAUACUGCCUCCCAAGAAGAGCUACAACAUCCUGAAAGUCAUAUCAAAUAAGUGCUUAGAACAACUGGGGAUUUAUCCUUGCCAAACCAGAAUUCCAGCAUCUAUGUGCCAAGCAUUCAUCAGAGGGAUGGAACAGCAGCAAGGAGACUUGAUGCCAGUGAGGAAACCAGUUGUUGACACCAUUUCUGAUCUCCAGUGAUGAAUGACACACUCAAGUUACAAAAAUGGGGCCUUAAAAGAAGCACAUUGUACAAUGAACAAGCAGAUUGGAGUUAAGAACACUGAAACGCUAACCCGCUACCACGAGAAGAGACAGGGAGCAACACUUUGGUUUGAGGAGAGACACAGAAAGACUGGAGACUGAGAGAGGUGAGAGAAGAGCCAAGAAGAGGGAGAGGCAGAAGCAGAGAGAGAACAGACUGGAAAGAACAGAAAAAGAAAUGAGAGGAAUCAAACCACCCGAAAGUUUGUUCGUUUUCCUUCGUCCAUUCUUUUUGCUUUCUUAUUCCUUUUUUUCCUGUUUUGUUUUGUUUUUGUUUUAAAGCUUUUUCAGUGGAUUGGGGGGCAGGGAGCAGGGGGCUCUUCACCCCUGUCCCUGACCCCCUCUCUCAGCCCUGCCCACCCGCUUCCAUCCGCCCUGGCUGAGGGACAGGCCCUGCCCCAGCCUCCCCCUCCGGCUUUCCCGAAGACGACGUCCAUGAGGUAUUUGUGAAGAGAAAGAAGCGUCUGUCCUUCCAUCCGCCUUGAGGACCAAGGGCCUGGACCACUGGCGCAGGGGCUUGGCUCCACCUCGCGGCUCCUUCUUAUUCUUGAAGAGUCCUCGUCUUC